CUGCCCUUCAGAGUUUGAUCCUGGCUCAGGACGAACGCUGGCGGCGUGCUUAACACAUGCAAGUCGAACGGUGAACUCAGGGCUUGCCCUGGGGGAUCAGUGGCGAACGGGUGAGUAACACGUGAGCAACCUGCCCCUGACUCUGGGAUAACUCCGGGAAACCGGUGCUAAUACCGGAUAUGACCUGCGCGGGCAUCUGUGUGGGUGGAAAGAUUUUUUGGUCAGGGAUGGGCUCGCGGCCUAUCAGCUUGUUGGUGGGGUGAUGGCCUACCAAGGCGACGACGGGUAGCCGGCCUGAGAGGGCGACCGGCCACACUGGGACUGAGACACGGCCCAGACUCCUACGGGAGGCAGCAGUGGGGAAUAUUGCUCAAUGGGCGCAAGCCUGAAGCAGCGACGCCGCGUGAGGGAUGAAGGCCUUCGGGUUGUAAACCUCUUUCAGCAGGGAAGAAGCGAAAGUGACGGUACCUGCAGAAGAAGCACCGGCUAACUACGUGCCAGCAGCCGCGGUAAUACGUAGGGUGCAAGCGUUGUCCGGAAUUAUUGGGCGUAAAGAGCUCGUAGGCGGUCUGUCGCGUCUGCUGUGAAAACCUGGGGCUUAACCCUGGGCCUGCAGUGGGUACGGGCAGACUAGAGUGCGGUAGGGGAGACUGGAAUUCCUGGUGUAGCGGUGAAAUGCGCAGAUAUCAGGAGGAACACCGGUGGCGAAGGCGGGUCUCUGGGCCGUAACUGACGCUGAGGAGCGAAAGCAUGGGUAGCGAACAGGAUUAGAUACCCUGGUAGUCCAUGCCGUAAACGUUGGGCGCUAGGUGUGGGGCUCAUUCCACGAGUUCCGUGCCGCAGCAAACGCAUUAAGCGCCCCCGCCUGGGGAAGAACGGCCGCAAGGCUAAAACUCCAAGGGAAUUGACGGGGGCCC
rnacentral:rRNA from 1 species